ACCUUUGGGAGAAUCGGAGCUUCUCAGCUGUCCAAGCGGGAGCCACCCUAAGAGAUAGCAGUAGCAGAAUUUCACAAAAAAAUCAAAGAGCCUUUUGAAGUCUUUGACCAUGAGUCGAAUAACACAGUGGAUGUGAGGGAGAUCGGAACAAUCAUCAGGUCAUUAGGAUGCUGCCCUAGCGAAGGAGAGCUGCAUGACCUGAUUGCAGAGAAAAGCAUCUGAUAUCAUUUCAAGUGCACCUUUCAGUUCAACCAAGCAGAGGCCUGAAGGGGAAAAAGCCGCCUGGGCAGCCACGAGGAGGAGGAUCUUCUCAGAAUUGGUUCUCUGGGUCUGUGGGUCUAGGUGGAGGCCGGGGAUCAACAAGGAGGAUGAGGAAGGAUGGCCAGGAAGCGAGAUUUGGUCUGUUCCUUGUUCCUCGCCCCCAGCACAGUGCGUGCUUGUUGAGUGUUACACGGAAGGGAAGAAACUGCGACUCUGGGUAGAGGAAGAAGAACCCACUGGAUACAUUUGAUUUGAAAAAUUUCUUCCAGUGAUGACCAAAGUACUGCUGGAAAGAAGGUCUUAGAUCCAGUGAAAUGUGGGUUUCUUGCUGAGGAAGAACUGAUCAAGUAAAUGACUGAAGAAGGUGAGCCUUUUUCUCAGGAGGAAAUGGAAGAAAUGUUGUCUGCUGCAGUUGAUCCAGAAUCGAAUUCAGUUCAUUACAAGGACUACGUAACAAUGAUGGUGACAGAUGAGACUUAAACACUUUAAAGACUUAAUUUCCAAUUGAAAGGAUAUUUAAAAAAUUGUCCUUGUUAAUUUCACAUUUUAUAAUUUCUACAUAUGAUAACUAAUGCUUUGGGAGCUAUUUCAAUAUAUUUUGUUUUUUAAAGAUGAUCAUAACAAUUUAAAACAAAUUUAUUUAGUAUAUCUAUCCUUAUGAAAUGACACAUUGCUAAUUAUUUUGAAACUGUUCUUAAAAUAUUUUAACAUUAUCCAUGGAUUGUUGUUAAUUUCCUAUAAUAAAACCCAGGUUCCUUUCAAAUUAA